rnacentral:rRNA from 1 species
AGUGAACGCUGGCGGUAGGCCUAACACAUGCAAGUCGAACGGCAGCACAGUAAGAGCUUGCUCUUACGGGUGGCGAGUGGCGGACGGGUGAGGAAUACAUCGGAAUCUACUUUUUCGUGGGGGAUAACGUAGGGAAACUUACGCUAAUACCGCAUACGACCUACGGGUGAAAGCAGGGGAUCUUCGGACCUUGCGCGAUUGAAUGAGCCGAUGUCGGAUUAGCUAGUUGGCGGGGUAAAGGCCCACCAAGGCGACGAUCCGUAGCUGGUCUGAGAGGAUGAUCAGCCACACUGGACCUGAGACACGGUCCAGCCUCCUACGGGAGGCAGCAGUGGGGAAUAUUGGACAAUGGGCGCAAGCCUGAUCCAGCCAUACCGCGUGGGUGAAGAAGGCCUUCGGGUUGUAAAGCCCUUUUGUUGGGAAAGAAAAGCAGCAGGUUAAUACCCCGCUGUUCUGACGGUACCCAAAGAAUAAGCACCGGCUACCUUCGU